rnacentral:rRNA from 1 species
CCUACGGGUGGCAGCAGUGAGGAAUCUUGGUCAAUGGCCGAGAGGCUGAACCAGCCAAGUCGCGUGAGGGAAGAAUGUCCUAUGGAUUGUAAACCUCUUUUGUCAGGGAGCAAAGUCACCCACGUGUGGGUGUUGGAGAGUACCUGAAGAAAAAGCAUCGGAUAACUCCGUGCCAGCAGCCGCGGUAAUACGGAGGAUGAGACGGUUGUCCGGAUUUAUGGGGUUAAAGGGGUGCGUAGGUGGUUUAUAAAGUAAGCGGUAAAAUCGUGGAGCCCAACGCCAUCCUGCCGUUGAAACUGGUUAGCUUGAGUGAGCGAGAGGUAUGCGGAAUGCGUGGUGUAGCGGUGAAAUGCAUAGAUAUCACGCAGAACUCUGAUUGCGAAGGCAGCAUACUGG